rnacentral:rRNA from 1 species
GACGAACGCUGGCGGCGUGCCUAAUGCAUGCAAGUAGAACGCUGAAGGAGGAGCUUGCUUCUCUGGAUGAGUUGCGAACGGGUGAGUAACGCGUAGGUAACCUGCCUGGUAGCGGGGGAUAACUAUUGGAAACGAUAGCUAAUACCGCAUAAUAGUAGAUGUUGCAUGACAUUUGCUUAAAAGGUGCAAUUGCAUCACUACCAGAUGGACCUGCGUUGUAUUAGCUAGUUGGUGGGGUAACGGCUCACCAAGGCGACGAUACAUAGCCGACCUGAGAGGGUGAUCGGCCACACUGGGACUGAGACACGGCCCAGACUCCUACGGGAGGCAGCAGUAGGGAAUCUUCGGCAAUGGACGGAAGUCUGACCGAGCAACGCCGCGUGAGUGAAGAAGGUUUUCGGAUCGUAAAGCUCUGUUGUAAGAGAAGAACGAGUGUGAGAGUGGAAAGUUCACACUGUGACGGUAGCUUACCAGAAAGGGACGGCUAACUACGUG